UUGCUAGCAGUCGAAUACUAUUAAUACCAUGGGAAGUUUACCACCACUCACUGCUGAUGCAAUUGCACUUACCGAAAAGAAAAUGGACAUGACACUUGAUGACAUCAUCCAAAUGUCAAAGAAAACUAAGCCAAAGACAAGGAAGCAGUGAACCUCGAAUAAGAGCCAGCGACCUUUUCCAAACAAAUAUGGUGCAAGGGAUGGUGCGUCCAAAGCCCACAUCCAACAAUCAAUGGCUGCAAGAUCUUCAACUCUUAGACAGG